rnacentral:rRNA from 1 species
CCUACGGGAGGCAGCAGUGAGGAAUAUUGGUCAAUGGGGGAAACCCUGAUGCAGCGACGCCGCGUGAGUGAAGAAGUAAUUCGUUAUGGACAGCUCUAUCAGCAGGGAAGAAAAUGACGGUACCUGAGUAAGAAGCCCCGGCUAACUACGGGCCAGCAGCCGCGGUAAUACGUAGGGGGCAAGCGUUAUCCGGAUUUACUGGGUGUAAAGGGAGCGUAGACGGCAGUGCAAGUCUGGAGUGAAAGGCGGGGGCUCAACCCCCGGACUGCUCUGGAAACUGUACGGCUGGAGUGCAGGAGAGGUAAGUGGAAUUCCUAGUGUAGCGGUGAAAUGCGUAGAUAUUAGGAGGAACACCAGUGGCGAAGGCGGCUUACUGGACUGUAACUGACGUUGAGGCUCGAAAGCGUGGGGAGCAAACAGGAUUAGAUACCCGUGUAGUC